GCGGCCAAACUUCCUGUCCCGCGGUCGAGCUGCUUCCGGCGGGAGCCGGAAGACGCUGUGUGUGGACGGAAUUCGAGACCGAGUGACGGACGGACGGCUGCCCGGGACAGGAAGGCUAAAUUGAUUACCACCCAGCACAGUACCUUACAGGAAAAGCAUAGCACUUCCUAGAGGAAUAUGAGCAUAACAAGAAGGUGCCACUGACUCUGAAUUAAAUUUUUAACCUGUCCCCUGAACAGCUAUAGGAUUUGGAAGCUGAAUCAAUGUUAUCAGAUGAGUUAGAAUCCAAACCAGAGCUCCUGGUACAGUUUGUUCAGAAUACAUCCAUCCCUUUGGGUCAGGGGCUGGUGGAAUCAGAAGCUAAGGACAUUACUUGCCUGUCCCUCCUUCCAGUGACUGAGGCCUCAGAAUGCAGUCGGCUAAUAUUACCAGAUGAUACUCCAAAUCAUACUAACCCCAAAGAGGUCCCUUCCUCGGCUGUGUUGAGAAGCCUUCAGGUGAAUGUGGGCCCAGACGGAGAAGAGACGAGGGCUCAGACUGUACAGAAGUCUCCAGAGUUUUUGUCCACUCCAGAGUCUCCUAGCUUGUUGCAAGAUCUACAACCAAGUGAUAGCACUUCUUUUAUUCUUCUUAACCUAACAAGAGCAGGUCUGGGCUCUUCAGCCGAACACUUAGUAUUUGUACAAGAUGAGGCAGAGGAUUCAGGGAAUGAUUUCCUGUCCAGUGAGAGCACGGACAGUAGCAUUCCGUGGUUCCUCCGGGUUCAGGAGUUGGCCCAUGACAGUUUGAUUGCUGCUACUCGUGCACAACUGGCAAAGAAUGCCAAAACUAGCAGCAAUGGAGAAAAUGUCCACCUUGGUUCUGGUGAUGGACAGCCCAAAGAUUCUGGACCCCUUCCUCAAGUGGAGAAGAAGCUCAAGUGUACAGUUGAAGGGUGUGACCGGACGUUUGUGUGGCCAGCUCAUUUCAAAUACCACCUGAAAACUCAUCGAAACGACCGCUCCUUCAUCUGCCCUGCAGAAGGUUGUGGGAAAAGCUUCUAUGUACUACAGAGGCUGAAGGUGCACAUGAGGACCCACAAUGGGGAGAAGCCCUUUAUGUGCCCCGAGUCUAGCUGUGGGAAGCAGUUCACUACAGCAGGAAACCUGAAGAACCACCUGCGCAUCCACACAGGAGAGAAGCCUUUCCUCUGUGAAGCCCAAGGAUGUGGCCGUUCCUUUGCUGAGUAUUCUAGUCUUCGAAAGCAUUUGGUGGUUCACUCAGGAGAGAAGCCACAUCAGUGUCAAGUCUGUGGGAAGACCUUCUCUCAAAGUGGGAGCAGGAAUGUGCACAUGAGAAAGCAUCACUUGCAGAUGGGAGCAGCUGGGAGUCAAGAGCAAGAACAAACUGCUGAGCCACUAAUGGGCAGUAAUUUGCUUGAAGAGGCUUCAGUAACCAGUAAAAACUUGGUGUCUAUGAAUUCUCAGCCCAGCCUUGGUGGAGAGCCCUUGGACCUUCCAAAUACCAAUUCUAUCCUAGGAGUUGAUGAUGUUAUGGAAGAACUUAACUUUUAAAACAUUUAAACAGAACAUAACCAGGUUUUACAGAGGAGAAUUAAAGCAAUUUCUCCAUACCUUCAAAAGCCAUAUCUUCUGGAGAAAAGAAAGGGCUCUCUAGGAAACAGUUGCUCCUCUCUGGUAUAGAAAUUUCACCCAAGUUACACAGGCCAGUCCCUCUUCUCUGAAAAACUUAACAGAGGUGCUUGCUGAAGGAUCCCCACGUCCCCUGUCUUCAGUGCCUGAUGUGACACAUCAUUUGGUGACCAUGCAGUCAGGGAGGCAGUCAUAUGAGGUUUCUGUCUUAACUGCCGUGAAUCCACAGGAGUUACUAAACCAAGGAGAUUUAACUGAAAGACAGACAUGAGAAUGAGUGCCUACUCCUGGAAGAGCAGCUCUGUCUGAUCCCAGAGUGCAGACAGUGGGAACAGGAUGCUUUGGCUCACAAUUUGCCAGAACCAAAAUGAAUCAGUGAAGGACAAGACCCUGCUUUUGCCUCUGUUCAUCUUUCCUGGCCUAGAAGUUCAGUGUAGGAGAGUGUCUCUUCAACUGCCAUCUGAUUCAGACAAGGAAGAAAGCAGGGAAUGUGGGCUGGGUAACUGUCCCUACCUCUCUUCCCACUGCAAAAGUUUGGGAUAGACUUCUCCCAAAAGUGAAUUUGAGUACGUGUUGGCUGAAGUUUCCCAGUGUGACUGUGGAAGGGAGGUUUUCCUUUGAAGAGUUUUUAUCCCAGGUUGAGCUUCUUUUCACACGAGUGAACUAAAUCCUGCCACCGACUGUAAAACUUCACCAAGAAGUUGCGCUUUCAAGAUGCCUUGUUGCUUUGGAGAAGGGAGUGACAUUCUCCCUUUAGCAACCUGAGUAAGAGACUCUUUCCCCACUGGGCUGCAAAGAAAAUAAAUUACUUGAAUCUCUGCUUGGCCCAGGUUGAGGUACUGUCUUGUCCUCUAUGCCUCUACUUGGCCACUUUGCUUUCUUUGUUUAUGGAACAUAUAGUAGCAUGUUAAGAGGUUGUUUUUUUUUUUUUUUUUUUAAGUUAAAAAUCACAUGAUUCAGAGAUUCAGUUGUUUUCCUUUAAAUAAACAAAACAGCCAGUCAGUUAUUUGGCUCCUUGUUUUAAACAAAAUUUGUUUUCUUAGGAGAUUAAGAAAAUAGUUCAGUCUUUCCCUUUAAGGUAGGGAGGGCACUGAUUUACCCUUAGGAGUCUAUGCAGUAACACUGAGCUCAGGAGUCUUGGGGAACAUGACAUGAGCAUCUUCAUCUCCAGCUGGCAAACCCAGAUGGUAGUUAUUGGAGUAUCACUGUUGUCAUCACCAGACAGGACCAUGUCUGAGUCUGGAAAAUGGCAAUAAUUGAUAUUUUUGGAUAUUUCCAGGAAGAUAGUUUGAAAAAACAAGAGAAAGUUUCUUUUAGAGUAGCUACUCUUGCUGUCAUCCUGUCUUUAGAGUAACUGAGAGAGAAUAUCUGAUCAUUAUUGGUGAGAAGAAAAGUAUCCAAAGAUCAUUUACUAGUAGAAAAUCAUGGCUAUCAGAGGAAGUUUCAGAGUUAUUUAUUGGGUUGACCCUCAUGCUGGCACAGUACACACAGGCACACAGUGGCGUGUUCUAAGCAGAUAACAGCAAAGAAUUAACUGCUGGAGUUCUUUUGUUUUCUUUUUCUGGCCAUGCCCACAAGGCAUCAUGUGGACGUUCCCUGGCCAGGGAUGGAAUCUGAGCCAGAGCUGCGACUUGCGCCAUAGCUUCAGCAACACCGGAUCAUAAGUCCACCAGGCUGCCACAGCUUGAACUCCCUUUAAUCAUUAACUGCUGUUUUAAAUAAAGUAAUUAUAGUUCCUAGUUUAAUGACACGCACAGUCAUCCUAUGCUGUGUAGACUGAGUUCAUAUCAGUUACUUAUAUUCUUAAAAUGCCAGUUUUGGCUUCCAGGAGCCUUACUUUUAUGCUAGAACAGUGGUUCUCAACUGAGGACAUCUUGCUACCCAGGGGACCUUUGAUAAUAUCCGGAGACAAUUUUGGUUGUCACUGCUGGGGAAGAGAGGUGCUGCUAUCCAUCCUAUAAUGUACAGCUCUCUCUUCUAACACCCAGCACAGACUCAUCUGGCCCAAAAUGUCAGUAGUGCCGAGGCCGAGAAACCCUGUAUUUGGGGUUGAAAACUUAUCUUACCCCAUGGGCUAAAUCUGAUAAACAAAUGUGUUUGGUUUUUCCCACACAUUAUUUUUGGAGGUUUUUUUUUUUUUUUUUUUUUUUUUUUUGGCUGCACCUGCAGUAUAUGGAAGUUCCUGGGCCAGGGACUGGAUCCAUGCCUGAGUUGCAGUAAUGCCAGAUCCUUAUCCCACUGCGCCUGGCCAGGGAUCAAACUCUUGACACCACAGAAACAAUGCCAGAUCUUAACCUGCUGCAUCACAGCAGGAAUUCCAUUUCUAAUUUUUUUUUCUUUUUUUUUUAAUGGCCACACCUGUGGCAUAUGGAAGUUCCUAGGCAAGGGGUCGAAUUGGAACUACAGCUACUGGCCUAUACCACAGCCAUAGCAAUGCCAGAUCCAAGCUGCAUCUGGGACCUGUACUGCAGUUUGUGGCAACACCAGAUCCUUAACCCACUGAUUGAGGCCAGGGAUCGAACCUGCAUCCUUAAGACUAUCUCGGGUUCUUAAACCCACUGGACCACAGUGGGAACUCCCCAGGUAGUUUUUGAAUUAGUUGCCAAUAUGCAAAAUUCUGGCUUCUGUUGAAGACAUGGUUUUCUGGUAAUUCUGAGCCUGUGUUCUAGCAGGGCUGAUAUUCUCUGGUCUCCACUGUGUCCUACUAUCUUACAGCCAGCCCAUUUGGUCCAUUUGUUUCCUGACUAGCCCCUGUAAACACUUGGGCUCAUGCCCUUUUUUUUAUACCUGUAUGCUAAAGCCUGAGGCACAAACCAAGGACCCUUAAUCAUCUCUGAUCCCUCCACCCAGAGCUGUUCCACUUUGAUUUACAUGAGCCGUUUUGUAUUAUCUCCUUUACCCCAUUCUCCAUGUGACUCAAAACCCAAGUUUUGCCUGCCUUGACUCAACUCCAAGUUAGCAGCUUGAUAUUAUUCCAAAGCAGUAAUUUUAAGUAUACUGAUUGAUUAAACAAGUGAUCUGAGAUUAUUUUGUAAUUCAUAAGAGAGCUUCUCCAGUUCUUUCUUGGGACUUGUAGGCUGUUGUAGAGAUUCUUCUAGAUCCUGUGUGGAUUCCUGAUGCUGGAGUUUUGUAGUUUCAUGAGUGCUGCAGAAUAAAUUAGAGUAUUACAAAAUCAAAAAUUUUAAGUGUUACGUAAGGUUUAAGGAUGGUUUCAAUAUUAUCGUUAAUUCUUAUGAGGUAAAAAGGUAAAUUUCUGGGGGAAAACUGAUACAGGAAUUAGGGGGAGGGCUAUUAGAACUUUAAAACACAGUUGAGAGUUAUGGAGAUGCUGUGCUUUUCCUCUUUGACUCACAUGAUAUCUGUGGAAGAGGUGAUGCUAAUGAGUUACUUUUAAAAAGUGUUAGAUCUGGGAGUUCCUGUUGUGGCUUAGCAGAAACAAAUCUGACUAGUACACAGGUUCAAUCCCUGGCCUCACUCAGUGGGUUAAGGAUGGAUCGCUGUGUGCUGUGAUGUAGGUUGCAGACGCUGCUCAGAUCCCCAGUUGCUGUGUGGUGUAGGCCGGCAGCUGUAGCUGUAGCUCCGAUUUGACCCCUAGCCUGGGAACCUCCAUAUGCUGCAGUGUGGCCCUAAAGAGAUGACAAAAAAAUAAAAAUAAAAAAAUAAAAAAAAUGCUAGAUCUGACCAAGCUGAGGGGAAAAGAAAGGAGUUUUAAAUUAUUAUUCAGGAUAUUAUAGCUUUUAUUGUGGCUCUGUAAAGGUUUCUGCCUUUACUUAUCCAAUAAAGUAAGAAAUGUAUCAUUUUAUAGGAGGUAAAAGUAUACAUGAUUUUUCUUCAACAGUGAAUUAGAAGCAUUUUUGACUGAUGACAUUAGACUGGAAUUGGAAAAAAUGAUCUCUUUCAAAUUAAAGGAAUCUAAACCUAA